AUCCAACUGACGAGUCCCAAAUAGGACGGACGCGCUUCCUGCAU
rnacentral:hammerhead_ribozyme from 1 species